ensembl:lncRNA
AGCAGGGGGCGGCGAGACACUGCUGAGGAUGCGGAGACUCCUCUGUGGAGCUCAUUCGGGACCACAGGGCACAGCCAACGUUUUCUGCAGGCUGGGACUGACACUCUUGUCUGUAUCAGGGAACAGGCUAACAAUGUGGGCCAUGCAAUGCCCAGCAGCAGCAGCAGCCCCAGACCGCAGUCGGCCACGUGAUCACUCGGCUUCACAUCCGGUGAAGCCAUGGGUCCACUAGCCUGAGGGUGACAGAACCUAUAGAUGAAACAACCGUCUUCGUAUCUAUGGACUAUGGAAAGUUCCUUCAGUUUGAAUCAUCAGCCAGACUUGCAGCAUUGACAAUUAGAAAAUCAACACGUCAAUCGAGCCUAAACAGCACUGAAUAUGCUCUGGGUUCUUCAGCUCCAAACAGCCAAGAUCUAAUUGUGUACAAGUAAUCAGUCCAAACUGGAACCAGCACUCUACUUGUCAGAUUCCUGGUGACUCCGCCUGCACUGGCCUACCCACUUAAUCUCUUCAGUUUAGCUUCAUAUCGUCUCUGACUCCAGGACAGCAGAGCAAUGCUUGAGGUGCUCACGUCAUAUCCAGCAUGUGCCAACUCUCUGAUGCGAGUUUUUAAAAUCCCACCGUUUUGAAAGACUUUCAGGAGUGCGUGUUAUGGCUCGUGGAUAUCUUGAUAUGAUGCUACCAAUCACUUUGUCACUUGCUCUUUGAAUAGAAGGAACAUCUUCAGCUCCUGCUCAUUCGUAAAAC